rnacentral:rRNA from 1 species
AGAGUUUGAUCAUGGCUCAGGAUGAACGCUAGCGGAAGGCUUAAUACAUGCAAGUCGAGCGGUAGGUGGCUUCGGCCAUUGAGAGCGGCGCACGGGUGAGUAACGCGUACAUGACCUGCCUGUCAGAAGGGGAUAGCCCUGGGAAACUGGGAUUAAUACCGGAUGUGAUAAUAGAUAUAAAGAUUUAUUAUUAAAGUUACGGCGCUUAGAGAUGGAUGUGCGUCUGAUUAGCUAGUUGGUAGGGUAACGGCCUACCAAGGCUACGAUCAGUAGGGGGCGUGAGAGCGUGGCCCCCCACACGGGUACUGAGACACGGACCCGACUCCUACGGGAGGCAGCAGUAAGGAAUAUUGGUCAAUGGACGAAAGUCUGAACCAGCCAUCCCGCGUGCAGGAUGAAGGUCCUAUGGAUUGUAAACUGCUUUUAGCAGAGAAGAAAAGCAUUCAUUUAUGAGUGUCUGACGGUAUCUGCGGAAUAAGCACCGGCUAACUCCGUG